rnacentral:rRNA from 1 species
GAUGAACGCUGGCGGCGUGCCUAACACAUGCAAGUCGAACGGGCUCGGAUUGAAACCUAGUGAUUUCCGAGUUAGUGGCGGACGGGUGAGUAACGCGUGGAUAACCUGCCGUAUGCAGGGGGAUAACAGUUGGAAACAGCUGCUAAUACCGCAUAAGCGCACAGUACCGCAUGGUACGGUGUGAAAAGAUUUAUCGGCAUACGAUGGAUCCGCGUCCGAUUAGCCAGUUGGCGGGGUAACGGCCCACCAAAGCGACGAUCGGUAGCCGGCCUGAGAGGGCGGACGGCCACAUUGGGACUGAGACACGGCCCAA